AUUGAACGCUGGCGGCAUGCCUUACACAUGCAAGUCGAACGGUAACAGGUCUUCGGAUGCUGACGAGUGGCGAACGGGUGAGUAAUGCAUCGGAACGUGCCCAGUUGUGGGGGAUAACUGCUCGAAAGAGCAGCUAAUACCGCAUACGAGCUGAGGGUGAAAGCGGGGGAUCGCAAGACCUCUGGCAAUUGGUGCGGCCGAUGUCAGAUUAGGUAGUUGGUGGGGUAAAGGCCUACCAAGCCGACGAUCUGUAGUUGGUCUGAGAGGACGACCAGGCACACUUGGACUGAGACACGGCCCAGACUCCUACGGGAGGCAGCAGUGGGGAAUUUUGGACAAUGGGCGCAAGCCUGAUCCAGCAAUGCCGCGUGCAGGAAGAAGGCCUUCGGGUUGUAAACUGCUUUUGUCAGGGAAGAAAUCCUCUGGGUUAAUACCCCGGGGGGAUGACGGUACCUGAAGAAUAAGCACCGGCUAACUACGUGCCAGCCGCCGCCGUAA
rnacentral:rRNA from 1 species